GACGAACGCUGGCGGCGUGCUUAACACAUGCAAGUCGAACGGAAAGGCCCUGCUUUUGUGGGGUGCUCGAGUGGCGAACGGGUGAGUAACACGUGAGUAACCUGCCCUUGACUUUGGGAUAACUUCAGGAAACUCGGGCUAAUAUCGGAUAGGAGCUCCUGCUGCAUGGUGGGGGUUGGAAAAUGUCGGCGGUUGGGGAUGGACUCGCGGGUUACCCGCUUGUUGGUGGGGUAGUGGCGUACCAAGGGUUUGACGGGUAGCCGGCCUGAGAGGGUGACCGGCCACAUUGGGACUAAGGUACGGCCCAGACUCCUACGGGAGGCAGCAGGGGGGAAUAUUGCACAAUGGGCGGGAGCCUGAUGCAGCAACGCCGCGUGCGGGAUGACGGCCUUCGGGUUAUAAACCGCUUUCGCCUGUGACGAAGCGUUAGUGACGGUAAUGGGUAAAGAAGCACCGGCUAACUACGUG
rnacentral:rRNA from 1 species